GUAGGCAGUCUGCUUGGUGGAGAUGGUCUCCUUGGCAGUCUCCUUGGAGAAAAUGGUGCUGUUGGUGGUCUCCUUGGUGGAAAUGGUCUUCUUGGUGGAGAUGGUCUCCUAAGUGGCCUCCUUGGCCAAGAUGGUGUAGUUAGUGGUCUCCUUGACCAAGAUGGCAUCCUGGGUGGCAUCCUUGGCAAAGGUGGUGUUGUUGAUGGUCUCCUUGGCAAAGAUGGCCUUGUUGAUACUCUCCUUGACACCGUCCUUGACCUUCUCAUUGGCAAGAACGGUCUCCUUGGCAGAAACGGUCUCGUUGGCAGCCUCCUUGGCAAAAAUGGUGAAGAACUCAUUGGACUGAAAAUUGUGAACAACACCCUCCCCAAAAUCAGUCUGCGCUCCCUGCCGGGCUUCGGGCACCAGGUGGACUUCAAGACGCAGCUGCUGGUAGAGAGCAGCGUGCCGGGCCAGCCGCUGUGCCAGCAGGUGGAGGUGGAUGCGACCAUCCUGGUCCGGGACACGUGGACGCCUCACCAGAAUGCUCUGAACUGUGAGACUGUUGACAUGAACACCCAUGUGAGACCCAGAGUGCCAGUUCUGGAAGAGCCUUUGAAACGCCUGCUCAGCAAUACCCUGAAGGAUCUGGGCUGCAACAUCAUCAACGCCAAGCUCAAGGUGUUGAGCUCCCUGCUGGGCUCCAGGAACCAGGUGCUCCCCCUCGGGGCCCUGGGGGACCUGCCCUCCUUCUCCAUCCUCAGUGGUGAUGCCAUCCAGGUGGAUCUGAAUCUCCUGUCUGAGAAUGGCAGGGAUGGCGUGAUGCCCCCCAUGCAGGAACUGCCCCUCAGUGCCAGCCUGCAGCUGGCCACUGGCCGCCGGCCCCGGCUCAGCCUCUCCCAGGACACCCUCAGCGCCCUGCUGGAGCAGGGCCAGGGCCAGGGCACCCUCAACCUCAGCAUCACCAGCCUGGCGGGCAGCAAUUCCCCUCUGCAAGGCCAGGUCAGUGUCCUGCCUGCCCUUUGGUGCCCACCUUUGCCUGCUGUGUUUGUGGGGUCC
rnacentral:lncRNA from 1 species